rnacentral:rRNA from 1 species
GGGUUGUGAGGUUAAGCGACUAAGCGUACACGGUGGAUGCCCUGGCAGUCAGAGGCGAUGAAGGACGUGCUAAUCUGCGAUAAGCGCCGGUAAGGUGAUAUGAACCGUUAUAACCGGCGAUUUCCGAAUGGGGAAACCCAGUGUGAUUCGUCACACUAUCAUUAACUGAAUCCAUAGGUUAAUGAGGCGAACCGGGGGAACUGAAACAUCUAAGUACCCCGAGGAAAAGAAAUCAACCGAGAUUCCCCCAGUAGCGGCGAGCGAACGGGGAGGAGCCCAGAGCCUGAAUCAGCAUGUGUGUUAGUGGAAGCGUCUGGAAAGGCGCGCGAUACAGGGUGACAGCCCCGUACACAAAAGCGCAUGUGCUGUGAGCUCGAUGAGUAGGGCGGGACACGUGGUAUCCUGUCUGAAUAUGGGGGGACCAUCCUCCAAGGCUAAAUACUCCUGACUGACCGAUAGUGAACCAGUACCGUGAGGGAAAGGCGAAAAGAACCCCGGCGAGGGGAGUGAAAAAGAACCUGAAACCGUGUACGUACAAGCAGUGGGAGCCCCACCACCAAAGCAUUCUCUGGUGUUGAAGGCCCUGCAAAGCAGCAUCGCGGUGGCGGAGCGUCGUUUGCGACGCCCAACACACAAAACAAGCGGUGAGUGCUUUGGGGUGGGGUGACUGCGUACCUUUUGUAUAAUGGGUCAGCGACUUAUAUUCUGUAGCAAGGUUAACCGAAUAGGGGAGCCGGAGGGAAACCGAGUCUUAAUUGGGCGUUAAGUUGCAGGGUAUAGACCCGAAACCCGGUGAUCUAGCCAUGGGCAGGUUGAAGGUUGGGUAACACUAACUGGAGGACCGAACCGACUAAUGUUGAAAAAUUAGCGGAUGACCUGUGGCUGGGGGUGAAAGGCCAAUCAAACCGGGAGAUAGCUGGUUCUCCCCGAAAGCUAUUUAGGUAGCGCCUCGUGAAUUCAUCUCCGGGGGUAGAGCACUGUUUCGGCUAGGGGGCCAUCCCGGCUUACCAACCCGAUGCAAACUGCGAAUACCGGAGAAUGUUAUCACGGGAGACACACGGCGGGUGCUAACGUCCGUCGUGAAGAGGGAAACAACCCAGACCGCCAGCUAAGGUCCCAAAGUCAUGGUUAAGUGGGAAACGAUGUGGGAAGGCCCAGACAGCCAGGAUGUUGGCUUAGAAGCAGCCAUCAUUUAAAGAAAGCGUAAUAGCUCACUGGUCGAGUCGGCCUGCGCGGAAGAUGUAACGGGGCUAAACCAU